CCGGUUCUAUUUUGUUGGUUAUAGAGCCAAAGUAAUGAUUGAUAGGGAUAGUUGGGGGUGCUAGUAUUGUCGGGCCAGAGGUGAAAUUCUUGGAUUCUGGCAAGACUAACUUAUGCGAAAGCAUUCACCAAGGAUGUCUUCUUUAAUCAAGAACGAAAGUUGGGGGAUCGAAGACGAUCAGAUACCGUCGUAGUCUCAACCAUAAACUAUGCCGACUGGGGAUUGGGCGACGUUGGAUAGGACUCGCUCAGCACCCUAUGAGAAAUCAAAGUCUUUGGGUUCCGGGGGGAGUAUGGUCGCAAGGCUGAAACUUAAAGGAAUUGACGGAAGGGCACCACCAGGCGUGGAGCUUGCGGCUUAAUUUGACUCAACACGGGAAAACUUACCAGGUCCAGACAUAACAAGGAUUGUCAGAUUGAAGAUCUUACUUGAUUUUAUGGGUGGUGGUGCAUGGCCGUUCUUAGUUGGUGGAGUGAUUUGUCU
rnacentral:rRNA from 1 species